rnacentral:rRNA from 1 species
UCGGUGAUGACGCUGGGAACGCGAGCGGCGGAUGGGUGAGUAACACGUGGGUAACCUGCCCUAAAGUCUGGGAUACCACUUGGAAACAGGUGCUAAUACCGGAUAACAACAAUAGCUGCAUGGCUAUUGCUUAAAAGGCGGCGAAAGCUGUCGCUAAAGGAUGGACCCGCGGUGCAUUAGCUAGUUGGUAAGGUAAUGGCUUACCAAGGCGACGAUGCAUAGCCGAGUUGAGAGACUGAUCGGCCACAUUGGGACUGAGACACGGCCCAAACUCCUACGGGAGGCAGCAGUAGGGAAUCUUCCACAAUGGGCGAAAGCCUGAUGGAGCAACGCCGCGUGAGUGAAGAAGGUUUUCGGAUCGUAAAGCUCUGUUGUUGGUGAAGAAGGAUAGAGGUAGUAACUGGCCCCUAUUUGACGGUAAUCAACCAGAAAGUCACGGCUAACUACGUGCCAGCAGCCGCGGUAAUACGUAGGUGGCAAGCGUUGUCCGGAUUUAUUGGGCGUAAAGCGAGCGCAGGCGGAAAGAUAAGUCUGAUGUGAAAGCCCCCGGCUUAACCGAGGAAUUGCAUCGGAAACUGUGUUUCUUGAGUGCAGAAGAGGAGAGUGGAACUCCAUGUGUAGCGGUGGAAUGCGUAGAUAUAUGGAAGAACACCAGUGGCGAAGGCGGCUCUCUGGUCUGUAACUGACGCUGAGGCUCGAAAGCAUGGGUAGCGAACAG